UACGUAGGAUGCAAGCGUUGUCCGGAAUUACUGGGCGUAAAGCGCGCGCAGGCGGCGCCUUAAGUUGGACGUGAAAGCUCCCGGCUCAACUGGGAAGGGUCGUUCAAAACUGAGGUGCUUGAGGGCAGGAGAGGAAAGUGGAAUUCCCGGUGUAGUGGUGAAAUGCGUAGAUAUCGGGAGGAACACCAGUGGCGAAGGCGGCUUUCUGGCCUGCAUCUGACGCUGAGGCGCGAAGGCUGGGGGAGCGAACGGG
rnacentral:rRNA from 1 species